AUUCUUAUCACUUUAACCCUAAUCUUAUCAUCCUCUCUCUUUGAAAGUCAUCAGUGACGAAAUCAUAGUUGGCUUCAAUCUUCAUUCAGCGGAUUUCAACACUUUCUAAUCAACGGAAAUAUCUUACUUGUGAUUCUGCCUGAGGACUAUGAAAAGUGGGUUAAAACUUUUAAUUAUCUUGAGGGAAAAGUGGAAAUAAGGACACUUGAUGGAAAAUUGUUCAGUGUUAAAAUUUUCAAGAUUGGAUGCGACUACAUCUUUUUUAAUGGAUGGCUUGAUAUGGUUACGACAUUGAAGAUAGCAUCGGAGUCAUGGCUGUUGUUCAGACGCAUCUGAUCAUUCCAAACAACAACAUCUUGAACAUCCUAUCAGUAAAUUGACGGUAACUACAUUCCUUCUGUAUUAGAUGUUUACUUUAUGUGUUCUUUUUAUUAUUAUGUGUAUAUUGUUCUUUGGUUCCAAUUGAAAAUCAUUGAUAAGGAGUGCUCCAAUUGGUGAUUCAUUGCAAUCAAGAGCCGAAAAGGUCUCAAAAAGGAACUGAGUAUAGAUCAUAUUAGGGGUGUUCAUGAGCCGAUCCAAUCCGAUCGAGGGUCUGCUCGUGCUUGGAUUGAAUUACAACCGAUCCGAUCAGAUCGAAUUUGCAAAACCGAGCACAAAAGUGAUGCUCGUGCUCGGAUUGAAUUUGAAUCGAGCGGAUCGUUUUCGCUCAGUUUUUCUUAGCACCGAAAUUAAAACAUGUGUAGCAAAAAAAAAAAAAAAAAAAAAAAAAAAAAAAAACUGAAAUGAAGACUAUUACAAGGCUGCAUUCUACAAAAACAAAUUCUAACUUAAUUAAAACAUGUCCAACACCUUACUAACAAAAUCAAUACAUAACUAAAAUCAUGAUUCUAAAAAUGUUUGAUGUAUUAUACUCAGCUUAGAUCCAUAAUGUAUUAUACUCAGCUUAAACUCAACUUAGAUCCAUAAUGUAUUAUACUCAGCUUAAACAAUUUAGGCAUAACAUGAGCAACUCAGAUCCAUAAUGUAUUAUACUUAGCUUAAACAAUUUAGGCAUAACAUAAGCUCAAUUAAACAUAAGCAUAGCAAAAUUAUCGUUAAAACAAAAGGUCACCGCAAAUGUCCAAAAAGGAAAGAGCUACGCUCGAUUUUCUUAACAUCAAAUCUAGUUCAUCCAAAAUAUAAAUUACAUAACCAGAUCAACAUAACUUACUUUUUCAAUAAAACAUUAACAUCACUUACACAUGUUUAAUAAAUGAUAUGAUCAUCAUAAUUCUUCAUAACUAUCUAGUUUGCAGAUAACUUAUAACUACACAUACACUAUUUCAUCAUGACUCACUGAUACAACAAUACAUUCAUAUCAAUCAAGAUUGUACCUCUGCUGAUUUGGAUCCUUUGCUGAAAGUAAUCGUAAGUUGAGUUGAACUAGAGCAGUUGAGCAGCGAGAUUCCGUAUGAGUUGAACUUGAGCAAUUGAGUAGCAGCGAGGUAUUUGGAUCCUCUACUGAAAUUACAUCAACGUUUUCCAGAUAGCUCACCAUCCCGAUUCAUCAAUUACAGUAGCAAGAUUCCAUUUUUUCAGUUGAGCAGCAGCGAGGUGCCGAGGGGAACGAGGAUUCUUUUGGGAUAAAUGCAAGGAGCUUGGGUUGGACCGGGACUUUUGCGUUGAAGAUGUGGGCGAAAAUGACAAUGGUACGGCCUAGUCUUUUUUCUCAUCUAUCGAAGUCGGGUUAAUUUUUUUAUCACAUAGUGGAAAACCUCCCAAACGUAAGUAAUUAUGUGUCCCCUUUUGAUGAUUAACUGGUUCGUUUGGUGGUGGCGUUGGUUUGUUUUUUUUUUUUUUCGUGUAGCUGUUAUGUGGUGUUUUUUUUUUGUUAGAAGUUAUUGAUUUAUAGGAAUUUUAGCAUUCUAAUGUUUGGUACCAUGCAUGAAAAUAUAGAGAUUGAUUUAACAGGUUGCGAGAAGGUUUUUGACACAUAACGAUAUAAUUA